rnacentral:lncRNA from 1 species
AGUCCUAAUCCCCCAGCUCCUGGGAGUGUGGUCUUAUUUGGGAACAGUCUUGGCAGAUGUCAUCAAGUUAAGGCGAGGUCAUACUGGCUUGGGGCGGGGGGGGGGGGGGCGGGGGGGGGGCCUAAUCCAGUGCCUGGGGUCAUAAUAGGAGGGAAAGAAACAGAUACAGAAGCCCUCCGGGGCGGGGGAGAGGCCACGGGACAGUGGAGGCAGAGAUUGGAGACGUACUGCCAUGAGCCAAGGGAUCCCAAAGAUUGCCAGAAGCCACCAGAGGCUGGAAGAAGGAAGGAUUCUCCCCUAGAGGCUCCAGGGGCAACGUGGGCCUGCCGACAUGUCGAUUUCAGGCCCCUGCCUCCAGAAUAUGACAGAAUACCUGUCCGUUGUUGCAAGGCCCCCAGUGUGUGGCACCUACAAGUAGCAGAUUUUUAUCAGUGUGAAGAUGUUGUCCUCGCCUCCAAAUCUGAUCAACAUGUCUUCUGUUUCACGGGAGAUGAGCAGACAGAGGAAAACGAACCAUCAGGAUCACCUUCGGUGCGACGCACCCGCCCUCAGCCCCGAGGUGCAAAGACCUUCCCAAGUUCUUUUAACUCCAUCCAGCACCUUCUGUUAAGCCAGUGGUGGGGCAAAGCUCCUGUCCAUCUGCAUAUCCAAGACCCUCCCUCUGGCCUGCGUUAUAGUUCUGGGUGGGAAGCCCCGUGCAGGCAGGGGCUACGUCAGGUGUGGCCCACACCAGGGUCCCCAGCCCCCAGCCUGUGCAAGUGCGGGGGGAUCGAGGGCAAGACGGUUGCCGCCGCAUAGUGACUCCUCCAGCUACACCCAGGCGUCCCCUCCCAGCAGGUUAGCGUCUGUAGGAGCAGCCAGUCCAAUGGGGGGCACGUCUGGAAGCCGGGGGUGGGGCGAUUCUGGUGGUCACAAUGCCUGGUGUGGCCUGGGGGGGAGGGGAGGCUAGAUGUCCUGCAGGGGCCGUCAAUCAAGAAGGGCCCCUGUUUAUUCACGCACAAAACUUUGAACUCCGAGAAGCCUAGAGGAGGGGGGUCUGAAAUGGGGAGAGGUUAGUCGUCAGUGCAAACUUUCAGGUGGAAGAGGACGAAGUUCUGGGGAACGUGAUGCGCAGCGUGGAGGCUGUGGCUCGUGACCCGCAAUUGUAUUCCUUGCAUUCGCUGAGAGUGGAUUUCGUGGGCUCUCACCACGCGCACACGCGCCAAGGAGACUUGCAAUAAAUGUUAAUUAGCUUGAUGGGGGCA